CUCAUUUGGUGUAUUAUCUUUGGAAUAUACAGGACGGAGCUUUGUCGUUUCAGUGGGCAGAAAAUUUACCCAGGAAGGGGAAUUAGAUUUAUCCGAUCUGAUUCUCAGGUUUUCUUGUUUCUUAACUCAAUUAAAUACAUUUGAAAAAAAUUUAUGUUAUUGGGUCAAACAAAACAUAUGUUAUGUUACAGUGCUUGAUCCUUGUCCCCCGAAAACAUGUCAUUUUCCUAUUUUUAUAAUAUCUUAAAAUUGCUCACGCACUGUGAUCUUCUUUAUUUAUUACUCACGCACUGUGAUCUUCCUCAGUUUCGUUUUUGUUUUCGAAAACACACUAUAUAUAUUAGUACUCCAGUUCCUGUGUUACUACGUUUGAGAAAGAAAAAAAUGAUGAGAGAUUAUUUUCUCUUUGUCAUGUGUCAUACGAUUAUGAUAUGUGUUCUAGUCAAAUCCCAAAAUCAAACCGCCGGUUUUAUCAACGUCGCUUGCGGUUUGCCUUCCGUCGAAUCUCCUUACGAAGAUCGCUGGACUAAUAUGACAUAUACAACGGACGCCAAGUUGGUACAAGGUAUGCCAGCGAGAAGGGUUGAUAAGGCUUUUCAAUCGAACAUACGUAAGCAGUCUUUGAACCUACGAUUCUUUCCAAAUGGAAAACGAAAUUGCUACAAGAUUAACGUCAAGCAAGACACACAGUAUCUCA